UCGUGGGGGGGCUUGGGGGGGGGAAUUGGGGGGUCCUGGGGGGAGAUUUGGGGGUAUGUGGGGUCCCUGUGUGGGUCCCAGUGUGGGUCUGGGGUCUCCAUACGGGUCUGGGGUCCCCAUGUGUGUCCCAGUGUGGGUCUGGGGUCCAUGGGGGGGUGAUUGGGGUCCCCUUGUGGGUGUGGGGUCCCCAUGUGGGUCCCAGUGUGGGUCUGGGGUCCCCAUGUGGGUCUGGGAUCCCCCUGAGGGUCCCACUGUGGGUCUGGGGUCCCCAUGUGGGUCUGGGGUCCCGCUGAGGGUCCCUCUGUGGGUCUGGGGUCCCCAUGUGGGUCCCCAUGUGGGUCCCCAUGUGGGUCUGGGGUCCCACUGAGGGUCCCUCUGUGGGUCUGGGGUCCCCAUGUGGGUCCCGCUGUGGGUCUGGGGUCCCGCUGUGGGUCUGGGGUCCCGCUGAGUGUCCCCAUGUGGGUCUGGGGUCCCCAUGUGGGUCUGGGGUCCCUUUGUGGGUCUGGGGUCCCGCUGAGGGUCCCUGCCCCCAUUUCCCGCAGAGGGCGCGGAGGCGGUGAAGCAGAAGGAUUUGGGGGACGGGGUCUUCGCCUGCGAGUUCGUCCCCAGCGCCCCCGGCCCCCACAGCGUCAGCGUCACCUAUGGGGGGCAGCCCAUCCCCCGCAGGUGGGACCGCAGCCCCGCCCCACACAUCCUGCCCCAUAGAUCCCUGCCCCACACAUCGUGCCCCAUAGAUC
rnacentral:lncRNA from 1 species